GUCAGGAUGGCCGAGCGGUCUAAGGCGCCAGACUUAAGUUUCCUUGGGCGUGGGUUCGAAUCCCACUUCUGACA